GAUGAACGCUGGCGGCGUGCCUAAUACAUGCAAGUCGAGCGAACAGACGAGGAGCUUGCUCCUCUGACGUUAGCGGCGGACGGGUGAGUAACACGUGGAUAACCUACCUAUAAGACUGGGAUAACUUCGGGAAACCGGAGCUAAUACCGGAUAAUAUAUUGAACCGCAUGGUUCGAUAGAGAAAGACGGUUUUGCUGUCACGUCUAGAUGGAUCCGCGCCGCAUUAGCUAGUUGGUAAGGUAACGGCUUACCAAGGCAAGGCUGCGUAACCGACGUGACAGGGUGAUCGGCCACACUGGAACUGGGCCACGGUCCAUACUCCUACGGGAGGCAGCAGUAGGGAAUCUGCCGCAAUGGGCGAAAGCAUUGCGGAGCAACGCCGCGUGAGUUAUGAAGGUCUUCGGAUCGUAAAACUCUGUUAUUAGGUAAGAACAAAUGUGGAAGUAACUAUGCACGUCUUGACGGUACCUAAUCAGAAAGCCACGGCUAACUACGUG
rnacentral:rRNA from 1 species